rnacentral:lncRNA from 1 species
UCAGGUUAGGGUGCGAUACCAUCGUAUAUCAUAGUGUUUUAUGGCUACAUAAUCAUGAUAGGACAAAGGUUGACUUUGCCCAACCCUACCUGUUACAUUAUUUCUCAUUAUGAAGCCUAGCAGUAGUUUUUUAAAACAGCUGAGCCAGUCACAUGUUGUUUGUUUACAAGCGCACAACAACCGGAGACUACAGAGAAUUCCUGUCCUGGAUCAAGAUCCUUGCCGUCUGUUUUGUGCGUGCAGAAAACUGACCUGAGCCCUAGGACCAUGCCUUAGGACUACCUGGCUUGAUGACUCCUUGCUGUCCCCAGUUCACCUGGCCGUGCUGCUGCUCCAGUUCCAACUGUUCUUCCUGCAGCUAUGGAACCCUGACCUGUUCACCGGACGUGCUACCUGUCCCAGACCUGUUGUCCCAGACCUGCUGGAACCCUGACCUAUUCACCGGACGUGCUACCUGUCCCAGACCUGCUGUUUUCAACUCUCUAGAGACAGCAGGAGUGGUAGAGAUACUCUCAAAGAUCGGCUAUGAAAAAGCCAACUGACACUUACUCUUGUGUUACUGACUUGUUGCACUCUCGACAACUACUAUGAUUAUUAUUAUUUGACAAUGCUGGUCAUUUAUGAACAUUUGAACAUCUAGGCCAUGUGCUGUUAUAAUCUCCACCCGGCACAGCCAGAAGAGGACUGGCCACCCCUCAUAGCCUGGUUCCUCUCUAGGUUUCUUCCUAGGUUUUGGCCUUUCUAGGGAGUUUUUCCUAGCCACCGUGCUUCUACACCUGCAUUGCUUGCUGUUUGGGGUUUUAGGCUGGGUUUCUGUACAGCACUUUGUGAUAUCAGCUGAUGUAAGAAGGGCUAUAUAAAUACAUUUGAUUUGAUUUGAAUUGUUUUGUGUCAUCAUUAGCAUGGUUGGGUAGGUUACUUUCUAAAUAUAAUCUGUUACAGUAACUACUUACCUGUCUAAAAUUGUAAUCAGUAACAUAACUUUUGGAUUACCCAAACUCAGUAACGUAAUCUGAUUACUUUCACUUACUUUUGGAUUACUUUCCCAUUAAGAGGCGUUAGAGGAAGACAAAAAUAAUCCAUCAAACACAUUUGGUGUGUUGUAAUAGUGGUUUCUGACUUGUGGUGAGAACCACUCAGGUGAAACAAAAUUAAACUAGCGCCUUUUUUCAAUGCUGAAUUGUGUCAUAAUGUAGAAUUUUUUCCUUAAACAUCCUUUCUUAAAAGUAAUCCAAGAAGUAAUCAUCUACUUUUUCAAAAGUAUCUGUUACCUGAUUACAAUAUUUUUUGCUGGUAACUUAACUGAUUUGUAAGGGCUGUCGUCGUAAGAAAACCAAGAUGCAGCGGAGGAUGUGUAUUCAUUUUAAAGAUUUAAUCAAAUGAACCACUAUAAACAAAAUACUCGACAGAAACGACAGCAAACAGUUCUGUCUGGUCCUACAUGAACAAAACAGAAAACAAUCACCCACAAAACCCAAAGGAAAAACAGGCUACUUAUGUGUGACUCCCAAUCAGCAACAACAAACUACAGCUGUGCCUGAUUGGAAGCCACAUGGCCAAAAUCAACAAAGCAAACCAACCUAGAAAAAAUAACAUAGAACGCCCAUCCAAUGUAACACCCUGGCCUAACCAAAAUAAAGAACAAAAACCCCUCUCUAUGGCCAGGGCGUUACAUGAUUACAUAUGUAAUCAUUAGGAUAAUACAGUAUUGUGUACUGUUAUUUGUAAAUGUAUUCUGCUUUUAUUGGAUGAAGCUCACUUGGAAAAGAGAUGUCUCAAUGUGACUUUCCUGUUUAAAUAAAGCUAGUUCACC